rnacentral:rRNA from 1 species
GCCUACGGGACGCAGCAGUAGGGAAUCUUCCACAAUGGACGAAAGUCUGACGGAGCAACGCCGCGUGAGUGAAGAAGGGUUUCUGCUCGGAAAGCUCUGUUGGUAGUGAAGAAAGAUAGAGGUAGAAACUGGCCUUUAUUUGACGGGAAUUACUUAGAAAGUCACGGCUAACUACGUGCCAGCAGCCGCGGUAAUAAGUAGGGGGCAAGCGUUGUCCGGAUUUAUUGGGCGUAAAGCGAGGGCAGACGGUUCAAUAAGGCUGAUGUGAAAGCCUUCGGCCCAACCGGAGAAUUGCAUCAGAAACU